ensembl:lncRNA
AUAGGGCCAAUAUGGGGUCAAUGGGGCCAAUAUGGGGUCAAUAGGGGGAUAUAGGGCCAAUAUGGGGCCAAUAUGGGGUCAAAAGGGGGAUAUAGGGCCAAUAUGGGGUCAAUGGGGCCAUCAAUGGGGUCAAUGGGGACUAUAUGGGGUCAAUGGGGACAAUAUGGGGUCAAUGGGGGAUAUACGGGGCCAUCAAUGGGAUCAUUGGGUCAAUAUGGGGUCAAUGGGGACUAUAUGGAGUCAAUAGGGGGAUAUAGGGCCGAUAUGGGGUCAAUGGGGACAAUAUGGGGUCAAUGGGGACUAUAUGGGGUCAGUAUGAGGAUAUAGGGCCAAUAUGGGGUCAAUGGGGACUAUAUGGGGUCAAUGGGGACAAUAUGGGUCAAUGGGGGGAUAUGGGGUUAUAUGGGGUUAUAUGGGGUUAUAUGGGGUUAUAUGGGGUUAUUAUGGGGUUAUAUGGGGUUAUAUAGGGUUAUAUGGGGUUAUAUGGGGUUAUAGGGUUAUAUGGGGUUAUAUGGGGUUAUAUGGGGUUAUGGGGUUAUAUGGGGUUAUAUGGGGUUAUUAUGGGGUUAUAUGGGGUUAUAGGGUUAUAUAGGGUCAUAUAGGGUCAUAUAGGGUCAUAUAGGGUUAUUAUGGGGUUAUGGGUUACUGUAGGGCCUGUACCAUGCUAAUGAGGUGGGAUAUGGGGUUAUAUAGGGGACAUAGGGUCAUAUAGGGUUAUAGGGUUAUUAUGGGGCCUGUACAAUGCUAUUGAGGUGGGACAUAUAGGGUUAUAUGGGGUUAUAUGGGGUUAUAUGGGGGAUAUAGGGUCAUAUAGGGGAUAUAGGGUUAUAGGGUUAUAGGGUUAUAUAUAGGGUUAUAUAGGGUUAUAUAGGGUUAUAGGGUAUGGGGAAACAAUGACCUGCAGGGCCUGUGCCAUGUUAUUGAGGUGGGUAUGGGGUUAUAUGGGGUUAUGGGGUUAUAGGGUUAUAUAGGGUUAUAUGGGGUUAUUAUGGGGUUAUAUAGGGUUAUAUGGGGUUAUAUGGGGGAUAUAGGGGAUAUAGGGUAUGGGGAAACAAUGACCUGCAGGGCCUGUACCAUGCUAAUGAGGUGGGGUAUAUGGGGUUAUAUGGGGUUAUAGGGUUAUAUAGGGGAUAUAGGGUUAUAUAGGGGAUAUAGGGUUAUAUAGGGGAUAUAGGGUUAUAUAGGGGAUAUGGGGUUAUUGUUAUGGGGUUAUGGGAUUAUGGGGCUUUGGGGUGGGGGGAUAUAAGGGGUAUGGGGUUAUGGGGUUAUUAUGGGGUUAUAGGGUUAUUAUGGGGUUAUAUAGGGUUAUUAUGGGGUUAUUAUGGGGUUAUGGGUUACUGUAGGGCCUGUGCCAUGCUAAUGAGGUGGGAUAUAUGGGGUUAUAUGGGGUUAUAUAGGGGAUAUAGGGUUAUUAUGGGGUUAUAUAGGGGAUAUAGGGUCAUAUAGGGUUAUUAUGGGGUUAUGGGGUUAUGGGGUUAUAGGGGAUAUAGGGUUAUAGGGGAUAUAGGGUAUGGGGAGACCACAACGUGCAGGGCCUGUACCAUGCUAUUGAGGUGGGGUAUAGGGUUAUAUGGGGUUAUAUAGGGGAUAUA